AUCCAACUGACGCGUCCCAAACAGGACGAGUCGUUCAUCUUGGAU
rnacentral:hammerhead_ribozyme from 1 species